ACAGGGAUUACCUCAGUAACGGCGAGUGAAGCGGUAACAGCUCAAAUUUGAAAUCUGGCUCUUUCAGGGCNCGAGUUGUAAUUUGUAGAAGAUGCUUUGGGCGUGGCUCCGGUCUAAGUUCCUUGGAACAGGACGUCAUAGAGGGUGAGAAUCCCGUACGUGACUGGGUGCCUUUGUCCGUGUAAAGCUCUUUCGACGAGUCGAGUUGUUUGGGAAUGCAGCUCAAAAUGGGUGGUAAAUUUCAUCUAAAGCUAAAUAUUGGCCAGAGACCGAUAGCGCACAAGUAGAGUGAUCGAAAGAUGAAAAGCACUUUGGAAAGAGAGUUAAACAGUACGUGAAAUUGUUGAAAGGGAAGCGCUUGCAAUCAGACUUGCGUGUGGUUGAUCAUCCGAGCUUUCUGCCCGGUGCACUCGAUCAUACUCAGGCCAGCAUCGGUUUGGGCGGUUGGAUAAAGGCCUUGGGAAUGUGGCUCCUCUCGGGGAGUGUUAUAGCCCUCGGUGCAAUGCAGCCUGUCCGGACCGAGGACCGCGCUUCGGCUAGGAUGCUGGCGUAAUGGUUGUAAGCGACC
rnacentral:rRNA from 1 species